rnacentral:rRNA from 1 species
CCAGAGGUUCCGAUUAUGGCUCAGAUUGAACGCUGGCAGGAUGCUUUACACAUGCAAGUCGAACGGCAGCACGGACUUCGGUCUGGUGGCGAGUGGCGAACGGGUGAGUAAUGUAUCGGAACGUGCCUAGUAGCGGGGGAUAACUACGCGAAAGCGUAGCUAAUACCGCAUACGCCCUUCGAGGAAAGCGGGGGACCUUCGGGCCUCGCACUAUUAGAGCGGCCGAUAUCGGAUUGGCUAGUUGGUGGGGUAACGGCUCGCAAGGCGACGAUCCGUAGCUGGUUUGAAGAGGACGACCAGCCACACUGGGACUGAGACACGGCCCAGACUCCUACGGGAGGCAGCAGUGGGGAAUUUUGGACAAUGGAAACCCUGAUCCAGCCAUCCCGCGUGUGCGAUGAAGGCCUUCGGGUUGUAAAGCACUUUUUGGCGGAAAGAAACGGCACGGGAUAAUACCCCGUGCAACUGACGGUACCUGCAGAAUAAGCACCGGCUAACUACGUGCCAGCAGCCGCGGUAAUACGUAGGUGCAAGCGUUAAUCAGGUACUGGGCGUAAAGCGUGCGCAGGCGGUUCGGAAAAGAAGAUGUGAAAUCCCAGAGCUUAACUUUGGAACUGCAUUUUUAACUACCGAGCUAAGAAGUGUGUCAGAGGGAGGUGGAAUUCCGCGUGUAGCAGUGAAAUGCGUAGAUAUGCGGAGGAACACCGAUGGCGAAGCCUCCUGGGAUAACACUGACGCUCAUGCACGAAAGCGUGGGGAGCAAACAGGAUUAGAUACCCUGGUCCACGCCCUAAACGAUGUCAACUAGCUGUUGGGGCCUUCGGGCCUUGGUAGCGCAGCUAACGCGUGAAGUUGACCGCCUGGGGGAGAGUACGGUCAUAAGAUUAAACUCAAAGGAAUUGACGGGGACCCGCACAACGUGGAUGAUGUGGAUUAAUUCAGUGCAACGCGAAAAACCUUACCUACCCUUGACAUGUCUGGAAUCCCGAAGAGAUUUGGGAGUGCUCGCAAGAGAACCGGAACACAGGUGCUGCAUGGCUGUGUCGUCAGCUCGUGUCGUGAGAUGUUGGGUUAAGUCCCGCAACGAGCGCAACCCUUGUCAUUAGUUGCUACGAGGCACUCUAAUGAGACUGCCGGUGACAAACCGGAGGAAGGUGGGGAUGACGUCAAGUCCUCAUGGCCCUUAUGGGUAGGGCUUCACACGUCAUACAAUGGUCGGGACAGAGGUCGCCAACCCGCGAGGAGCCAAUCGAAACCCGAUCGUAGUCCGGAUCGCAGUCUGCAACUCGACUGCGUGAAGUCGGAAUCGCUAGUAAUCGCGGAUCAGCAUGUCGCGGUGAAUACGUUCCCGGGUCUUGUACACACCGCCCGUCACACCAUGGGAGUGGGUUUUGCAGAAGUGGUCAGCCUAACCGUAAGGAGGGCGAUUACCACGGUAAGUUCAUGACUGGGGUGAAGUCGUAACAAGGUAG